GGAGGCUCACCAACUCUGAAUAUCUAUAAAUGAUCUACGGCUUAGCGGGACCUUGAGAUUGAACCUCAGAUCCUAAAAUAUAAGGGGUCAAUAAAAAAUGUACCGGUAUGUGAAACAAUCCAAAAUAGCAUUUUUAUUACACAACAUAGAUUAGAACAUUUUGUAAAACAUUACAUAUAAGACAAGUAAAACACAUGAACAUAAUUUAUAAUUUCAAAUGCUUUCUUGCAAUCAUGACUCAACACUUUGUUAUUCUUCUGAGCUAGUUGGUAUACCCUACAAAAUUUGAAAUUC
rnacentral:lncRNA from 1 species